ensembl:antisense
AGUUUCAUUUCUCCCACGACAGCAGCCCGACGUGACUCUUCCUCCAGAGUUAGAGGUGGAGCCAGGACAAACUCUAAAGAAAAGAAACCCCAUCCAAAAGGGAAGCUGGUAUCAUCUAACCUUUAAAUUACUCAUGUCCCUCCAGAGCCACACCAACGGAGGAGGAGGCCUGGAGCAGGCAGGGCGCUUCACAUCUAGAAUACCAGCACCAAGGAGGCUGAGCCAGGAGAAUUACAAGUUCAAGGCCAGCCUUGGCUACCUAGCGGGUCUCCUCAAAACAAAACAGAAAUCUUGGGAAGGAAGAAACGCAAAGAUCGCUGGAGCAUUUUAAAUCAGCCACAUUGUUGACAGAUCUCCCCUCGGCCACUCAAUCCCUGGUGUCAGGACAUUUGUCUGCCAGAGUCACCAUAUUUUCUGGUAUGUGAGAUGAAAACCCGAUUCCUGAAGGGCCCCGUCCCUUUGCCUGGAUUGUCAAGAAGCUCAAAGUUCUGCACUCAACUCCUGCUGAUGCCUCUUUGGUCAAGAAAUCCUUUUACCAAAGCCGACCCAAGUCACCAAAUCCUCUAAGGGCAUCCCUUCCUGGUAGAGACUUGAGGUGAUCAAACGGGUUAAGUGACUGCACCAGCUUCAAUAUAUCAGAGCAAAGGCAUGAAGGGACCCAGAAAUACAGUUGAUGCCCCACCCCCACCCCCCUCCACUCUUCUGUCCUUGGCUAUUUCCAUUAAUAUCUAGAACAUUUUUUUUCCUCCAGCGGUUCUAGAGGACCACUUCAAAUUCAAGGCCUACCUGACUUCUUAUCACUUAGGCUCAUCCUGAAGAAACAACUACAUCAGCUAUCUCGGGCCUCAGCUCCAGCCUGGCCUCCUACAGGACAGUUAGGAUAGGCCCUCCCUUUUGCAAGUGGCUUGGUCUUGCUUGUUUGAGAUCAACGACAAAGGGAUAUGAAGCAGUAUCUAUCACACAGCAUGAGAACAUGCCACCACCUACACAGACACAGAUGUAUGUCACAAGAUGAUCCCUGAAAGAAGCAGGCUCAGGAUGGAACAACCCACCCUGGGAGUCCAUUUGCAUGAAUCCAAAAGCAGGUCUGUGGUGUUGAUACAAGUCAUGACGGUCCCAGGUUCAGUGUUCAGUGGUGCACGCCUGGAAUCCUGGCACUUAAGAGGUGGAGGAGGCAAGAGAAUCAGGCUUUAAGGUCAUCCUUGCUUAGGCUUUGACAAGGAAACCACAGCUUGGAGAAGCUUCCCCAGACCACAAGCCUAGUCCCUGGCAAGGCCCACAUCCUCAGGUGGUCAGUCCACUAGGCACCCCAACCUGGGGCACAGGUGUGUCCCCCCAGGAAAGCUGGCAAAUGGUAUCCAUGUCCUCAUUAAUUACAAUGCUCUCAGGCUCCUCCCGGCCAGGCCAAGGCUGUGUGUGCAGGGAACCGCAAAUGCAUGCCAUGCCGUUGUCGAGGGAAGACGGGUGUCUAAUCGAGGAGGAAGGGAUAAGCCAGGGAAGACGCUGAAAGCGUUACCUGCAUCCCCUGCUUUCUAAACGCAGCCGAUGGAAAAUAACAGAUCUGCUGAACGCUUUCCUCAGACGGGGAAGAGGAGGAUCUUUGCUGGAGCAGCCCUGCCAUCUUGGGGAGACCCCAGCUCUGAUGUGAGGCCUGGUCAUGAGCCCGAAGCAGUACAGUGAAUGUGGAAGAGUAGGGAGCAUGCGGGCCACUCCUCCAAGAUCCUGUGGCCCCGUUGUGAGUCACAGGCCUUCCUGUUCGGCCAGUUCUUACUCUCACCAACCACGUGGAAGGAGACAGACCAGGUGGCAGCACUUGCCAGGAGCCAGGAGAUGGGCACUGGGGAUACCCAGCCUGGGCCCGCCAGUCCCAGUUUAGAUAUUUCAUCCUGGAGGGAGGCAUCGCUGCAACAAACAACGGGUCCCAGGUGUAUCUGACACUAGCUUGGUCCAUUUACGCAUGGGCUGAUUACAGCAGACCAAGUGUGCCAGGGCUGGGCACAGAAGACACCAGGGUAAAGGAGACGGCGGACUCUGCCAACAGGAAGCUCAGUCCGUAGCAAGAGGCAGGUAAGUCAAGAAAUGCUUACAAACCCGAGGUGACACACAGCAGUAGUUCCUCUUGCUACGACCACUUUUUGCUUGCCUGGGUUUUGAGACUGUAGCCCAGGCUACCCCCAAACCAAAGGCAAUUCCCAUGCGCUGGUCACCCAAGGGCUAGUAUUUCGAGUGGGUGGCACAUUUAACUUCU